GGAAGGGUGGCAGAGCGGCCUAUUGCGACGGUUUCGAAAACCGUGCCCUUUUUUAGGGCUCGUGGGUUCAAAUCCCACCCCUUCCG
rnacentral:tRNA from 1 species